AGCUACUACACCUCCACGCUCCUCGCCGACUGCUACCGCAGCGGCGACCCCGUCUCCGGCAAGCGCAACUACACCUACACGGAGGCCGUCCGCGCCAUCCUCGGCGGCGCCAAGGUCAAGCUCUGCGGCGUCAUCCAGUACGCCAACCUCGUCGGCAUCGCCAUCGGAUACACCAUCGCCUCCUCCAUCAGCAUGCUGUAAGAAUAUAUGCGUCGUCUUCAGUUCCAUUCUGAUUUACAUAUAUACAUAUAUAUGAACGCGCGCGACCGAUCAUGUUUGUUGCAGGGCGAUCAAGAGGGCGGACUGCUUCCACGACAAAGGGCACAGGAACCCGUGCCGGAGCUCGAGCAACCCCUACAUGAUCCUCUUCGGCGCCGUGGAGAUCGUCUUCUCGCAGAUACCGGACUUCGACCAGAUAUGGUGGCUCUCCAUCGUCGCCGCCGCCAUGUCCUUCACCUACGC
rnacentral:lncRNA from 1 species